CAGGUCCAGAUGUUCCAGAUGUGAGGGGUUGGACUUCAGAGCUGAGACCAGAGAAUCACAGCUGAUCUCUGACAAACUGCAGUUCUCCAAUCUGAAUAAAGAAUAAAAGAUCUUCAUCAAUGAGAUCUGUUCAUUUAUUCUACCAGAGGAGAAGCUGCUGGACCACAGAGGACAAAUACAUUUGCUUCCAGGACAGAAAGGUGAAAAGCAUCUAAAGGUUGAGCAGCAGAUAAAGCCACUGUCUUUACUUCAGUCAUCUCACAGCUCCAAAUGCUGGAAAGGAUGAAGGAGAGAGUUUGUGCCACUGGUGAGCUUCCAGUUAAAGUGUUGCAGUGAUGUGACACACAACAGGUGCUGACAGGUGAGGAGAGUUCUUCUACUCACUGACUUCUAUCAGCUCAGCACAGAGAACUUUAAGGACACUUUAGCUUUGACUCUGGACUGAGUCUAGACUUUAUGACUCCCUACUACAUUUAAAAAGAAAAACUCUGUGGAUGAUUCACAGCAGUCAUUAAAACUGAUGAGAAAAAAGAAACAUUCACCCAAAGAUGAGAACUUUGAAUCACUGAAAACAUG